rnacentral:lncRNA from 1 species
AGAAUAGAUAAACAACAGGAUUUACUGUAUACCUCAGGAAACUGUAUUUAAUACUUUGUAAUAACCUAUGAUAGGAAAAAAUACAAAAUAUGUAUAUAUAACUAAAUGUAUCUGAAAUAAACACAAUAUUGUAAAUCAACUGUACUUCAAAAAAACAAAAAGCCCCAGCAGGAAGAAACUGCUGGUUGGCCAAGGAUUUGUGGUGACUCCAGGAUGCAGCAGGUCUUAGUUUGGGUUGCUAUGACAAAAAUACCUAAGGCUGGGAGGAGUUCCCACUGUGGCACGGUGGGUUAAGAACCUGACUGCAGCAGCUCAAGUUGCUGUGGAGGUCCAGGUUCAAUCCCCACGUGGUGAAGUGGGUUAAGGAUCCUCUGUGGCAUGGGUUGAAGCUGUGGCUCAAAUUUGAUCCCUGGCCUGGGAGCUUUCCUAUGCCUGGGUUGUGGCCAUAAAACAAAACAAACAACAAAAACCUAAAGGCUGGGGAGCUUAAACAACAGACAUGUAUUUCUCACGGUUCUGGAGGCUGAGUAGCCCAGAUCAAGGUGCCAGCAGAUCUGGAGUCUGGUGAAAGCUCGCUUUCUGACUGGCAGAUGGCUCCCUUCUUGCUGGGUUCUCACGUGGCUGCUGCAGAGCAGAGAGAGGGAACAGGCUCUGUCAUGUCUCUACUAUAAAGGCACUAAUCCCCUCAAUGGGGGCUCCACCAUCAUGACCUAAUUACCUCCCAAAGGCCCCAUCUCCAACUACCAUCAUAUUGGGGAUUGUGAUUUCUUGGUUUUGUUUUUUGUUUUUGUUUUUGUUUUUGUUAUUGUUGUUGUUGUUUGCUUUUUAGGGCCACACUCACAGCAUGUGGAGGUUCCCAGGCUAGGGGUUGAAUAGGAGUAACAGCCACAGCGAUGCAGAAUCUGAGCCUCAUCUGUGACCUACACCACAGCUCAUGGCAACACUGGAUCUCCCACUCACUGAGCAAGGCCAGGGAUUGAACUGGCAUCCUCAUGGAUACUAGUCGGAUUCCUUUCCACUACACCACAAUGGGAACGCUCUGCGAUUUCAAUUUAUGAGUUUAGAGGGAAUGCAAACAUUCAGUCUACAACAAAACCAAUUUUCCCUUUUUUUUUUUUUUUCCAUACUUGUGGCCUGUGGAGUUUCCUGGACCAGGGAUUGAACCCACACCACAGCAGUGACCUGAGUUACAGCAGUGACAAUGCUGGACCCUUAACCAGCUGCACCACCCCACCCCCUUUUCCUUUCCUUUUCGGGCCACCUCGUGGCGUAUGGAAUUCCCACCGGGCCAGGGAUCAGAUCUGAGCCACAGUUGUGACCUCAGCCACACCUGCAGCAACAAUGCAUCCUUUAACCCACUGUGCCAGACCGGGGAUUGAACCCGUGUCCUGGCACUGCAGAGAUGCUGCCGAUCCUGUCUAGGGGCAGAAUUAAGGCCGCUGGACCCACCAGGCUAUUUGUCUCUAGCCUUACCAGUUGGACUAGCUGUAAAAUGGGACUUUGGCCAACAAUGGAUGUCCACAGGCAGAUUCUUCACCCCAGGCCCUGGUCUCAGCCCAGGGGGUUCCUGGCAGGAGGAGCCCCUACCUCCCCUCCAACUGAAUCUGUAAAUCUCUGUAACUCGCUGUAUCCAGUGGGUAAAGAGAAAUGUUCUCACCCAGUACUCAUCGUUUACUGCCAACUUGCAAUGGGGGUGUGUGUGUGACCGUCAGUGGGGCCUGAUGGAACUUUUUGCUGUUUUGUUUUGUUUUUUAGGGCCACAUCCACAGCAUAUGGAAGCUCCCAGGCUAGGAGUCAAAUCAGAGCUGCAGCUGCCAGCCUACACCACAGCCACAGCAACAGCAGAUCCAAGCCUCAUCUUUGAACUAUGACACAGCUUGCCGCAACGCCAGAUCCUUAAGCCUCUGAGAGAUGCCAGGGAUCAAACCCAAAUCCUCAUGAAUGCUAGUAGGGUUCUUAACCAGCUGAGCCACAGUGGGAACUCCGUGAUGGAACUUUUGGGGUGAUGGAAAUAUUAUAUCAAGAUUGAUAGUUCCAAGGUUAUGCUUUUGUUAAAACUCAUCCAGCUAUACUCUAUUGUUUGUGAAUUAUAACCUAACCAAGCUGGCUUUAAAAAUAGGUAUAUGAUAUUUUAUUUCAAGACGACGGGAGUGGUGGGGGAAGGCAACAUAAGAACAAAAUCUAGGAGUUCCCAUUGUGGCUCAGAGGUAAUGAACCUGACUAGUAUCCAUGAGGACUCGGGUUUGAUCCCUGGCCUCGUUCAGUGGGUUAAGGAUCCAGCUUUGCUGUGAGCUGUCAUGUAGGUUGCAGAUGUGACUAAAAUCCUGAGUUUCUGUGGUCUAGGCUGGCAGCUACAGCUCCGAUUCAACCCCUAGCCUGGGAAUUAACAUAUGCCACAGGUGCAGCCAUAAAAAAAAAAAUCUAGAAGUGUUCCCUGGUGGCUCAGUGGGUUAAGGAUCUGGUGUUGUCACUGCUAUGGCUCAGGUCACUGCUGUGGCAUGGGUUCAAUUCCCAGCCCAGGAAGUUUUGUGUGCCACCGUUGCAGCCAAAAAAAAAAAAAAAAAAACAACUAAAUGUUUUUAUACAAAGUCUCCCUGUUUUGGAAAUGCAUGCUAUUGGCUGGAGCCUUGGAAGGAAGAAAAAUGAUCUCUUACUAGAUACUCUCACUGUCCAGAUGUGCCCUUCAAAAUAAAAUACAUCUGCAUUUUAAGUUGUGUCAAUGUCAACGUGCUAUACGUGAGGCACUUGUGAAAAAUACGUGAGCAUACCAUUAUGUAAACACAGACAAAAGGUUAAAAAAGCAGUCUGUUUGGAAAUGGAGAUAUUACAGCUGUCACAGCUGCACAGAGGUGCUGCCUCAUUUUCCCCAUCUAUACUGUGGGGUAAUGAUCCCCCGCCUCAUGGAGUGGUUUUGGGGUUAGAGUAGGUUGAUGUGAUAGGAAUCAUCUGGGAAGGAUAAAUAAAUCCUGGGUUCGAUCCAGUAUCUUUUGUCCUCUCUGCCACCUUUGUUUGUUUUAUGCUGAGAAAAGUCAACAUAAAGGCUAGAUCGGGAGUUCCCGUUGUGGCGCAGCGAUAACAACUUAGACUAGGAACCAUGAGGUUGUGGGUUCGAUCCCUGGCCUCGCUCAGUGGGUUAAGGAUCCAGCAUUGCUGUGAGCUCUGGUGUAGAUCACAGACGUGGCUUGGAUCUGGCGUUGCUGUGACUGUGGUGUAGGCCGGUGGCUACAGCUCUGAUUCAACCCCUAGCCUGGGAACCUUCAUGUGCCACAGGUGGGGCCCUAAAAAGACCAAAAGACAAAAAACAAACAAACAAACAAACCAAAAAACACCUAGAUCGUACAUCUCAACCUUGCCCAAAGGCUUGGGUUGCUAGUCUACAGGGCAGAAACCUUCCCUUCAUGGCCAGGACCACCCCAAUGAGGCAGCAGCACUGUCUCAGCCACAUCCCAGUACACAGCUGCCCCUUGACAAGGUCCAGUCCAAGGGCUGCUUCUACCCUAGAACAAUCUUGGGAGUGGUGAGGAGCCAGUGUCCUGACACUGGAGACCCUGGAUCACUGGGAAACUGGACUCAGGGUGACAACGGGGGAGCUCACAGCUUUGCAUGGAGAUCUGGGGAGGCUGCUUUGGGGACUCAAUAAUGUGGGCCCCCCGGGAGGGUGGGGAUUCACAGGGUCAGGACAAGGUGGCCACACUUGGCUUGGGGCUUGUGUGUGCAAUUUUGACCUCACCCAGAGGUCCAGCCCAUCAACCAUUCACUGGAGGUUCAGCCAUUGCUCAUCCUGGAGUUCCCUUGUGGUGCAGUGGUUUAAGGAUCCGGCCUUGUCACUGCUGUGGCGUGGGUUUGAUCACUGGC